GCCACCUUAGCUCAGGGGUAGAGCAGCUCACUCGUAAUGAGCAGGUCGUCGGUUCAAUUCCGACAGGUGGCUCCA
rnacentral:tRNA from 1 species